rfam:Solanum tuberosum cultivar DM 1-3 516 R44 contig04387_1, whole genome shotgun sequence.
AAAAAGCUCGUAGUUGGACUUUGGGAUGGGCCGGCCGAUCCUCCCUAGGUGUGCAUUAGUCGUCUCGUCCCUUCUGUCGGCGAUGUGCUCCUGGCCUUAAUUGGAUGGGUUGUGCCUCUGGCGCUUUUACUUUGAACAAAUUAGAGUGCUCAAAGCAAGCCUAUGCUCUGUAUAUAUUAGCAUGGGAUAAAAUUAUAGGAUUUCGGUCCUAUUACAUUGGGCUUCGGGAUCGGAUUAAUGAUUAAAAGGGACCGUCGGGGGCAUUCGUAUUUCAUAGUCAGAGGUGAAAUUUUUAGAUUUUUGAAAGACGAACAACUGCGAAAGCAUUUGCCAAGGAUGUUUUCAAUAAUCAAGAACGAAAGUUGGGGGCUCGAAGACGAUCAUUUACUGUCCUAGUUUCAACCAAAAAUAAUGCCGACCAGGGAUCGACGGAUGUUCCUUUUAGGACUAUACCGGCACCUUAUGAGAAAUCAAAGUUUUCUGGUUUC